rnacentral:rRNA from 1 species
AUUGAACGCUGGCGGCAGGCCUAACACAUGCAAGUCGAGCGGAUGAAGGGAGCUUGCUCCUGGCUUCAGCGGCGGACGGGUGUGUAAUGUCUAGGAACCUGCCUGGUAGUGGGGGAUAACGUCCGGAAACGGGCGCUAAUACCGCAUACGUCCUGAGGGAGAAAGUGGGGGAUCUUCGGACCUCACGCUAUCAGAUGAGCCUAGGUCGGAUUAGCUUGUUGGUGGGGUAAAGGCCUACCAAGGCGACGAUCCGUAACUGGUCUGCGAGGAUGAUCAGUCACACGGGAACUGAGACACGGGCCAGACUCCGACGGGAGGCAGCAGUGGGGAAUAUUGGACAAUGGGCGAAAGACUGAUCCAGCCAUGCCGCGUGUGUGAAGAAGGUCUUCGGAUUGUAAAGCACUUUAAGUUGGGAGGAAGGGCAGUAAGUUAAUACCUUGCUGUUUUGACGUUACCAACAGAAUAAGCACCGGCUAACUUCGUG